CGAGGGAAGGCAGAUCUUUGGGCCGUAACGGACGUGAGGAGCGAAAGCGUGGGAGCGAACAGGAUUAGAUACCCUGGUAGUCCACGCCGUAAACGUUGGGCGCUAGAUGUAGGACCUUUCCACGGUUUCUGUGUCGUAGCUAACGCAUUAAGCGCCCCGCCUGGGGAGUACGGCCGCAAGGCUAAAACUCAAAGGAAUUGACGGGGGCCCGCACAAGCGGCGGAGCAUGCGGAUUAAUUCGAUGCAACGCGAAGAACCUUACCAAGGCUUGACAUACACCGGAAACGGCCAGAGAUGGUCGCCCCCUUGUGGUCGGUGUACAGGUGGUGCAUGGUUGUCGUCAGCUCGUGUCGUGAGAUGUUGGGUUAAGUCCCGCAACGAGCGCAACCCUCGUUCUAUGUUGCCAGCGCGUUAUGGCGGGGACUCAUAGGAGACUGCCGGGGUCAACUCGGAGGAAGGUGGGGAUGACGUCAAAUCAUCAUGCCCCUUAUGUCUUGGGCUUCACGCAUGCUACAAUGGCCGGUACAAAGGGCUGCGAUACCGUAAGGUGGAGCGAAUCCCAAAAAGCCGGUCUCAGUUCGGAUUGAGGUCUGCAACUCGACCUCAUGAAGUCGGAGUCGCUAGUAAUCGCAGAUCAGCAACGCUGCGGUGAAUACGUUCCCGGGCCUUGUACACACCGCCCGUCAAGUUCAUGAAAGUACGGUAACACC
rnacentral:rRNA from 1 species